rnacentral:rRNA from 1 species
GUAAGCGUGCGUAGGCGGCCAAUUAAGUCAAAUGUGAAAUCCCCGAGCUUAACUUGGGAAUUGCAUUCGAUACUGGUUGGCUAGAGUAUGGGAGAGGAUGGUAGAAUUCCAGGUGUAGCGGUGAAAUGCGUAGAGAUCUGGAGGAAUACCGAUGGCGAAGGCAGCCAUCUGGCCUAAUACUGACGCUGAGGUACGAAAGCAUGGGGAGCAAACAGGAUUAGAUACCCUGGUAGUCCAUGCCGUAAACGAUGUCUACUAGCCGUUGGGGCCCUUGAGGCUUUAGUGGCGCAGCUAACGCGAUAAGUAGACCGCCUGGGGAGUACGGUCGCAAGACUAAAACUCAAAUGAAUUGACGGGGGCCCGCACAAGCGGUGGAGCAUGUGGUUUAAUUCGAUGCAACGCGAAGAACCUUACCUGGCCUUGACAUACAGAGAACUUUCCAGAGAUGGAUUGGUGCCUUCGGGAACUCUGAUACAGGUGCUGCAUGGCUGUCGUCAGCUCGUGUCGUGAGAUGUUGGGUUAAGUCCCGCAACGAGCGCAACCCUUUUCCUUAUUUGCCAGCACUUCGGGUGGGAACUUUAAGGAUACUGCCAGUGACAAACUGGAGGAAGGCGGGGACGACGUCAAGUCAUCAUGGCCCUUACGGCCAGGGCUACACACGUGCUACAAUGGUCGGUACAAAGGGUUGCUACACAGCGAUGUGAUGCUAAUCUCAAAAAGCCGAUCGUAGUCCGGA